UGUGUCAGGCAUGCAAGCAAC
rnacentral:misc_RNA from 1 species